AGUGAACGCUGGCGGUAGGCCUAACACAUGCAAGUCGAACGGCAGCACAGUAAGAGCUUGCUCUUACGGGUGGCGAGUGGCGGACGGGUGAGGAAUACAUCGGAAUCUACUUUUUCGUGGGGGAUAACGUAGGGAAACUUACGCUAAUACCUCAUACGACCUACGGGUGAAAGCAGGGGAUCUUCGGACCUUGCGCGAUUGAAUGAGCCGAUGUCGGAUUAGCUAGUUGGCGGGGUAAAGGCCCACCAAGGCGACGAUCCGUAGCUGGUCUGAGAGGAUGAUCAGCCACACUGGAACUGAGACACGGUCCAGACUCCUACGGGAGGCAGCAGUAGGGAAUAUUGGACAAUGGGCGCAAGCCUGAUCGAGCAAUACCGCGUGAGUGAAGAAGGCCUUCGGGUUGUAAAGCUCUUUUGUUGGGAAAGAAAAGAAGCAGGUUAAUACCCGGAUGUUCUGACGGUACCCAAAGAAUAAGCACCGGCUAACUUCGUG
rnacentral:rRNA from 1 species